ACUGGGCUGAGCUGGAUUCAGACCAGUGAAUGGCUCUGCAGCUGGUUAGCAAUGUGCUAAAACAUCCAGUCCCCUAAUUAGUGCUAAUUGAUGAGAAGGUCCACGUGUAUAUUACAUCUCAAAGUAACUGUUAGAAAAAUGUUAAACGCAAAAGUUAGGAACCGGCAGAAUUCUCCAUCUGCGAGGACACUGGAAUAAAUGUGGCUCUAGACACGGUGUGAAACGGUGAAUGUAGCAGUUCAGGUUUGGUUUGUUUUCUGCUUUAUUUUGGUUACUCGAUGUACGUUGAGCUCAUAGACUUUAAGGUUGGAAGGGACCAUUAUGAUCAUCUAGCCUGACCUCCUGCACAACGCAGGCCACAGAACCUCACCUGCCCACUUCUGUAACAAACCCCUAACCUAUCUCUGAGCUAUUGAAGUCCUCAACUCAUGGUUUAAAGACUUAAAGGUGGAGAGAAUCCUCCAGCAAGUAACCCGUGCCCCACGCUGCAGAGGAAGGAGAAAACCCCCCAGGUCCUUUGCCUAUCUGCCCUGGAGGAAAAUUCCUUCCCGACCCCAAAGACAGCGAUUAGCUAAAUCCUGAGCAUGUGGACAAGACUCACCAGCCAGACACCCAGGAAAGAAUUCUCUGUAGUAACUCGGAUCUAUGAUUCUAUGAUGGUUAAAAACCUUCAUCUAAUUUCAAGACUCAACUUCCUGGUGGCCAGUUUAUAUCCAUUUGUUCUUGUGUCCACAUUGGUAAUGAGCUUAAAUAAUUCCUCUCCCUCUCCGGUAUUUAUCCCUCGGAUAUAUUUAUAGAGAGCAAUCAUAUCUCCCCUCAGAUGUCUUUUGGUUAGGCUAAAUAAGCCAAGCUCUUUGAGUCUCCUUUCAUAAGACAGGUUUUCCAUUCCCCGGAUCAUCCUAGUAGCCCUUCUCUGUACCUGUUCCAGUUUGAAUUCAUCCUUCUUAAACAUGGGAGACCGGAACUGCACACAAUAUUCCAGGUGAGGUCUCACCAGUGCCUUGUAUAACGGUACUAAAACCUCCUUAUCUCUACUGGAAAUACCUCGCCUGAUGCAUCCCAAGACCACAUUAGCUUUUUUCACGGCCACAUCACAUUGGCGGCUCAUAGUCAUCCUGUGAUCAAUCAAUAGAAUCAUAGAAUAUAAGGGUUGGAAGGGACCCCAGAAGGUCAUCUAGUCCAACCCCCUGCUCGAAGCAGGACCAAAUCCCAGUUAAAUCAUCCCAGCCAGGGCUUUGUCAAGCCUGACCUUAAAAACCUCUAAGGAAGGAGAUUCUACCACCUCCCUAGGUAACGCAUUCCAGUGUUUCACCACCCUCUUAGUGAAAAAGUUUUUCCUAAUAUCCAAUCUAAACCUCCCCCCACUGCAACUUGAGACCAUUACUCCUCGUUCUGUCAUCUGCUACCAUUGAGAACAGUCUAGAGCCAUCCUCUUUGGAACCCCCUUUCAGGUAGUUGAAAGCAGCUAUCAAAUCCCCCCUCAUUCUUCUCUUCUGCAGGCUAAACAAUCCCAGCUCCCUCAGCCUCUCCUCAUAACUCAUAUGUUCCAGACCCCUAAUCAUUUUUGUUGCCCUUCGCUGGACUCUCUCCAAUUUAUCCACAUCCUUCUUGAAGUGUGGGGCCCAAAACUGGACACAGUACUCCAGAUGAGGCCUCACCAAUGUCGAAUAGAGGGGAACGAUCACGUCCCUCGAUCUGCUCGCUAUGCCCCUACUUAUACAUCCCAAAAUGCCAUUGGCCUUCUUGGCAACAAGGGCACACUGCUGACUCAUAUCCAGCUUCUCGUCCACUGUCACCCCUAGGUCCUUUUCCGCAGAACUGCUGCCUAGCCAUUCGGUCCCUAGUCUGUAGCUGUGCAUUGGGUUCUUCCGUCCUAAGUGCAGGACCCUGCACUUAUCCUUAUUGAACCUCAUCAGAUUUCUUUUGGCCCAAUCCUCCAAUUUGUCUAGGUCCUUCUGUAUCCUAUCCCUCCCCUCCAGCGUAUCUACCACUCCUCCCAGUUUAGUAUCAUCCGCAAAUUUGCUGAGAGUGCAAUCCACACCAUCCUCCAGAUCAUUUAUGAAGAUAUUGAACAAAACCGGCCCCAGGACCGACCCUUGGGGCACUCCACUUGAUACCGGCUGCCAACUAGACAUGGAGCCAUUGAUAACUACCCGUUGAGCCCGACAAUCUAGCCAGCUUUCUACCCACCUUAUAGUGCAUUCUUCCAGCCCAUACUUUCUUAACUUGCUGACAAGAAUACUGUGGGAGACCGUGUCAAAAGCUUUGCUAAAGUCAAGAAACAAUACAUCCACUGCUUUCCCUUCAUCCACAGAACCAGUAAUCUCAUCAUAAAAGGCGAUUAGAUUAGUCAGGCAUGACCUUCCCUUGGUGAAUCCAUGCUGGCUGUUCCUGAUCACUUUCCUCUCAUGCAAGUGCUUCAGGAUUGAUUCUUUGAGGACCUGCUCCAUGAUUUUUCCAGGGACUGAGGUGAGGCUGACUGGCCUGUAGUUCCCAGGAUCCUCCUUCUUCCCUUUUUUAAAGAUUGGCACUACAUUAGCCUUUUUCCAGUCAUCUGGGACUUCCCCCGUUCGCCACAAGUUUUCAAAGAUAAUGGCCAAUGGCUCUGCAAUCACAGCCGCCAAUUCCUUCAGCACUCUCGGAUGCAACUCGUCCGGCCCCAUGGACUUGUGCACAUCCAGCUUUUCUAAAUAGUCCCUAACCACCUCUUUCUCCACAGAGGGCUGGCCAUCUCUUCCCAUUUUGCGAUGCCCAGCGCAGCAGUCUGGGAGCUGACCUAUACUCCAAGGUCCUUCUCCUCCUCUGUUACUUCGAAGUGAUGCGUCCCCAGUUUAUAACAAAAAUUCUUGUUAUUAAUCCCUAAAUGCAUGACCUUGCACGUCUCACUAUUAAAUUUCAUCCUAUUACUAUUACUCCAGUUUACAAAGUCAUCCAGAUCUUCCUGUAUGAUGUCCCGGUCCCUCUCUGUAUGGCAAUACCUCCCAGCUUCAUGUCAUCCGCAAAUUUUAUUAGCACAUUCCCACUUUUUGUGCCAAGGUCAGUAAUAAAAAGAUUAAAUAAGAUUGGUCCCAAAACCAAUCCCUGAGGAAGUCCACUAGUAACCUCCUUUCAGUGUGACCCGCUGGUAGUCUCCCAUUUAACCAGUUCCUUCUCCACCUUUCAAUUUUCUUAUUGAUCCCCAUCUUUUCCAAUUUAACUAAUAAUUCCCCAUGUGGCACUGUAUCAAAUGUCUUACUGAAGUCAAGGUAAAUUAGAUCCACUGUGUUUCCUUUGUCUAAAAAAUCUGUUACCUUCUCAAAGAAGGAGAUCAGGUUGGUUUGGCAAGAUCUACCUUUUGUAAAACCAUGUUGUAUUUUGUCCCAAUUACAAUUACAUUAACCUCAAUGUCCUUAACUACUUUCUCCUUCAAAAAUUUUUCCAAGACCUUGCAUAUUACAGAUGUCAAACUAACAGGCUUUUAGUUACCCAGAUCACUUUUUUUUCCUUUCUUAAAAAUAGGAACUAUGUUAGCAAUUCUCCAGUCAUACGGUACAACCCCUGAGUUUACAGAGUCAUAAAAUAUUCUUGCUAAUGGGCUUGCAAUUUCACGUGCCAAUUCCUUUAAUAUUCUUGGAUGAAGAUUAUCUGGGCCCCCCAAUUUAGUUCCAUUAAGCUGUUUGAGUUUCGCUUCUACCUCAGAUAUGGUAAUAUCUACCUCCAUAUCCUCAUUCCCAUUUGUCAUGCUACCCUUAUCCCUAAGAUCCUCAUUAAAGACUGAGGCAAAGUAUUUGUUUAGAUAUUGGGCCAUGCCUAGAUUAUCCUUAACCUCCACUCCAUCCUCAGUGUUUAGCGGUCCCACUUCUUCUUUCUUUGUUUUCUUUUUAUUUAUAUGGCUAUAGAACCUUUUACUAUUGCUUUUAAUUACCUUGGCAAAGUCCAACUCUACAUGGCUUUUGGCCUUUCUCACUUUAUCCCUACAUGUGCUGCCCUCAAUAAGGUAGCUUUCCUUGCUGAUCCCUCCCAUCUUCCACUCCUUGUAGGCUUUCUGCUUUUUCUUAAUCACCUCUCCGAGAUGCUUGCUCAUCCAGCUUGGUCUACAACUCCUGCCUAUGAGUUUUUUCCCCUUUCUUGGGAUGCAGGCUUCCAAUAGCUUCUGCAAUCUUGACUUGAAGUAAUCCCAGGUCUCCUCUGCCUUUAGAUCCAUAAGUUCUUCAGUCCAAUCCACUUCCCUAACUAAUUUCCUUAAUUUUUGAAAGUCAGCCCUUUUGAAAUCAAAAACCCUAGUCACAGAUCUAUUUUUGUUUAUCCUUCCUAUCCAUCAGCUGUCAGAGCUGCCCCUUUAAAAACACAGGGCGGGGCUGUGGGCAGAGAGGGCCUGUCCUGAGUGCUCUAUCUGCAGCUGCAGGAUGCCUGCGGGAAGCUCCCUAAAGACGAGGAGGAACUCGAGGAGCAAGGUUCUCCUCAGACCGCAAAGCCUGACCUGUGGGAGUGUAACAUGCACCCUCGUUUCAGCCCCACAGGGCUGUUGGGACACGGUUACAUGAGCACACACUAUUUUUUUCCCUGCCUGGGUCAUCUGCAGAAUUUAACCCCAGGAUCUUUGGGUCCAGAGCACAGACCCCUCUCCCAUUUGCGCAAUAGGAAUGACUGGCAGAAGAAGCCGGCUGUUAUCCUGUAUGUGGAUCACCCCAUGGGACUGGUGGGGGGAGAUGCACUCUGCCAGGGGGAUACAUGACUAUUUGAGAGAGAGCUCUGCCAUGUUGUCUGUUGGGACUCCUGGGUUCUGUGCCUGGCUCGGGGAGAGGAGUGGUGCAGGAGAUGAGCUUUGGGUCUGUCCUGUUAGAGACCUGGGUUCUGUUCCUAGCUGCACGCAGUGACCGGUGUCCCCGCUCAGUAUCCUGUACAGUGGGCAGGGGGCGGUGGGCUGGUGUAAUGGUCCUUCGCUCUCCCGCUCGGAGGGAGGCCACUCAGGUCGGCCCUGUCUGGCCAGGACCAGCGUCUGCAAGACAGCCAAGAGCACGCAAUAGGGCUGGGCGAUGAAGAGUCGCUAUCAGGCUCUAGCCUGGGCUUGAGUAGCUCAAGUAGUCAGCCCUUAAACACAGUCUGUCAGGGCUGGCUGUGUCCUGGGCCGAGACCAGCAAACAGUCUCUAAGGUGACUGGUAAGGGACGCUCCUCUUCAGAGCUAGAGCCUCCUUGCACAGCGUAGGGGCUCAAUCACCCAAGGUGGGUUGGCAGGGGGAUGAGGGCCCACCCUACUCCAGGGCACUGGCAGGGGCAGGAUUGCCUGCCUCUGCAUCGGCGGGGAUCCAGCUGCAACACGCCAAAGGAGCCACCCUGGUUCUGCAGCCAGCUGCUCUGGGGCUUCCCCUGGGCCACUUCCUGCCUCCCCGGGGUUUGGUACCUGCGACCUCCAGUCUUUGUCAGCGUUUGAGAAUUGGGAACAGCCAGGGGACACGGGAGAACAGGCAGAGCGUCCUUCUCCUCUGCAGGCUCUCCCCCAACUGUGCUGCAGGGCCGGCCCUUUAUACCUCCAGCCAUGCCCCGGUACUUCCAGCGAGGGGGGAGAGCGAUCUAGGCUCUGCCCUCCAAGGGGCGUGUAAUGGUCCCUCGCUCUCCCUCUUGGAGGGAGGCCACUCAGUCUCCCUACAGCUGGGUUAAUACGAAGGGCUGUGAAUGGCCCAGAAGUAUUAAUAGAGGAUAUUGGAAGAGCCUAGCCUCAAACUUGUAGCCUUGCAGGCCCCCUCUAACCCGCAGUGUGUCUCCGGGACAGAGCCUCUCGCUCGGCCUCAGCCGGACUUGGUAUCAGAAGUGCAGGCGGGUGUGACCACACGGCCAAAGGCAGGAGUGUCGCGUGUGAGGCAGGGCACGGCGCAGGUCUGGGUAUACAGCUGUGAAGCCAGAAGUCAAGUCAGAAUCAGGUUUGGGUCUGUCGGAUCAGACCCUUGAACCCUGUUCUCAGGUCAGUGGGAUUUAAAUGGGGCUGCUCAGGUGAGUAAGUGUAGGCAGGAUCAACGCUAAACCUUGUAGCACACUGAUGUGCAGCCAGCCCUGCCCUCCUUCCCCCCAGGCAUCACCCCUCAGAUGUCACUUACAUGCCACUGGACUCAAGGGGAUUAGGUGAAUGUCAGAGCGCCAGGAUCUGGCCCUCACCCAUUGCUCAGACCCAGUUCUGGCUGCCCAUCGUCUGAGCUCUGCCCAUCUUGCGGCACCUAACAGUCCCUUCUCAUGAAUUGUAAGGCCAGGAGGGACCAUUAGAUCAUCUCUGAGCUCCUGUGUAGCACAGGCCAGAGAAUGUCACCCAGUGAUUCAUCUCUCGGAUCCUUCCAGUUUCUGCAGCCUGUGGAACGAGGGCGUAUCUUCUGGAACAAGCGUCCAGGCCGGAUUGGUAGCACUGUGUUCUAGUUGUAUUUGUUCACAAGCCAGAUCGGCUUACUACUCAGCGCUGGCAGAAAUCCAGGCCAUUUCCCAGACAAGCUUGGAUGCUAUCGAGAUCCCAGGUCGACUCCACCCCUUAUUAUGCAAUGAGAAUGGACAUUAAACCUAAUACGUCUCCGGAGGGGGAAGUGCUCACGAGCAUUUCCUCUGCGCGAGAUCAGCCAUAGACUCAUAGGUUUUAAGGCCAAGAGGGACAAUUAGAUCAUCUAAUCUGAUACCUGUAUUGCACAGGCCAUUACAUCCCACCCAGUUACCCCUCUGUGGAGCCCACUAACUUGUUUGGCUGAAGCAGCUUCCAGAAAGGUGGCCAGUGUGGAUUUGAAGACAUCAAGAGAUUGAGAAUCCGCCACUUCCCUUGGUAGCUUGUUCCCAUGGUUAAUCAUAAGAAACAGUUUUAUUUUAAAUCCAGAAAACUUCUUGACUUCAUCAAAAUCAAGGGUUUGAGGCACCAGGACUGACUCGCUAAUGAUUUUCUUCUGUGCUCCGGUUUAGCAUCUAAAAUGUCGUUGUUGUUAGUACCAAUCCGGUAUUACGAUCGCUGGGUAAUUCUCUGGUCGUGCCUAUCUACGACAACCUCAAGUCAUUGUUCACUAAGGAAGAGCUGAGAGUUUUAUCAGGGAAAACGUCCAUUGUAAACGAAGUUGGUCUCUCGAAAAUUUUCACCUAUGGAGUUGGGUGGACAGGAGCAGAAUGGUACUACAUUAUGGUGACAAGAGAGGAGGAUGAGUGGGUGGCUGUGUGUCAAACUCCUCUGCAUUGCACCUGGAUUGUGGAUGACAACAAAAUCUACCGGGAAGAUAACCCGUCGAUACGCAAACUAUUUGGUUCUGUACCUGAUCAUUUGAGCUACAUCAUUAAAGUUACCAACAAAACUGAAGAAGUCAUCAAUGUUGUGGUUCAUGAACGUCUGCUGGCCCAAGUGCUGACUGGAGGAAUUGGAAGAAUUGGAAGUUAUGUGAGAGACAAGUACUUCAACCUAGGGGUUGCAGUUGAUAAAAAAAAAAAACAAAAACUAUUCAUAAAGUGAACCCCAAGAAUUUAUUCUCCUACAAAUCCCUCAGUAAUGUAGUAGGCAUGGUAAAUGUGUCAACCUAUUCUAUAAAGGUGAAAAAGGGUAAACAGAUCGCUGAGUGUAACACCCCUUUGCAUUGCACCUGGAUCGUGGAGAGCCAUGGAAUGUGGCAAGAAAAUAAACCUACAGAAGUUUACAAAUUUCAAUAACAUGCUUUUCUCCUCCUUGAUAUUAUUAUAAGGAAGCAGCAGAAGACGACCCCAGUGAAUAUGCCUUAUAAAUCCAUGGGGUUUCGCCAGUAUUUGCUUUAGGAGCCAGCACAAUAGUUGUGUGUGUCCUGGUGACUAAAUAUGUGAACUAAUGAUUUGCAACAAAUAAUUUAUCUGACAAAUCUUUUCACUCUUGUUGAAUAAAUCACUUGCAAAUAAUUUUUCUUACUAUUUAGCCAGUUCCACCAAGGCAAAUAACAGCAAAAUAAUAAGUCAGCAGAAUGUAUUCACCACUUCUUUGUGACAAUCGAAUAAACUAUGAAUACAUUUUU